GCCUGGGUGGCUCAGUCGGUUAAGCGUCUGACUUUGGCUCAUGAUCUCAUGGUCCGUGGGUUCGAGCCCCACGUCAGGCU